UUGUUGCAGUUAAAAAGCUCGUAGUUGGACUUUAGGCAAGGCGGCCUGGUCACCCUCUGGGUGUACUGGGAUCGCUGCGCCUCACCUUCGGGGAGCUAGUCGUGCUUCGGUGCGCUAGGGUACCGAGCCUUACCUUGAGGAAAUUAGAGUGUUUAAAGCAGGCUUAUGCUUGAAUACGUUAGCAUGGAAUAACAUGAUAGGACUUUGGUUCUAUUUUGUUGGUUUGAGGACCAAAGUAAUGAUUAAUAGGGACAGUUGGGGGCAUUAGUAUUCAAUAGUCAGAGGUGAAAUUCUUGGAUUUAUUGAAGACUAACUAAUGCGAAAGCAUUUGCCAAGGAUGUUUUCAUUAAUCAAGAACGAAAGUUAGGGGAUCGAAGACGAUUAGAUACCGUCGUAGUCUUAACCAUAAACUAUGCCGACUAGGGAUCGGUGGAAGUCGAUUUUGACUCCAUCGGCACCUUACGAGAAAUCAAAGUUUUUGGGUUCUGGGGGGAGUAUGGUCGCAAGGCUGAAACUUAAAGGAAUUGACGGAAGGGCACCACCAGGAGUGGAGCCUGCGGCUUAAUUUGACUCAACACGGGAAAACUCACCAGGUCCGGACAUGGGAAGGAUUGACAGAUUGAGAGCUCU
rnacentral:rRNA from 1 species